AAAUAACGUGCUUGUAACGAUAACGACGAGGGAGACUGCUGCCUUUGGACCUGACUCCUUGGACUACGGUUCAUUCUCAUGCAUCUUCUGGCUCUUUCUCUCUCAUUCUCUGCUUUAGGAAGCAGAGAGAAAGCAUAGCAUAUCCCAUUCUCGAUCUUGCCCUCGCCAUCAUGUCCCAGAAACCCAUUAGCAGCAUCACCGUGGCAUUAAUACUUAUUUUCAGCUUCUUCGUAAUCUUCUUCGGUUUCCUCCAGUCUCCCUCUCUAUCAGUUUCACGCCAAUCUCUCAACGAUCCCAUAACUUCAGAAACCAAAGCCUCAGCAGAAGCCUUUUCUGAUCUGGUGGAUGCCUUCAGAAAAUGGGAUUCUCAAGUGGGUUGUUCCAGGUUCAAGGAGAGAUAUGAUGGGGCAAGGCGGAAUAAGUCGAUGGGUCCUUCUUCUUUGCAAGAGAUUGGAGGUGAUUCGAAAUGUGAGGGCUUGAAAUUGAACCAUGUCAGCGUUUUGGUGAAAGGGUGGACUUGGAUUCCCGAUAAUUUAGAUAAUUUGUACCCCUGCCAAUGUGGGUUGAGCUGUUUGUGGACUAAAUCGCCGGUUGUUGCGGACAAGCCUGACGCGUUAUUGUUUGAAACGACUUCGCCUCCGAUUGUGAGACGCAUGGGAGAACCACUUCGUGUGUACAUGGAUCUUGAAGCUGGGAGGAAGCGAUCAGGUCAAGAAGAUCUGUAUAUCAGUUAUCAUGCUGGAGAUGACGUCCAGUCAACAUAUGCUGGUGCUCUGUUUCACAAUGGCCGAAACUACCACAUCUCACCUUAUAAAAACGAUGAUACACUUGUCUAUUGGUCUUCAUCACGGUGCCUUUCUCAAAGGAACAAACUUGCCAAGAAACUUCUCAGUUUGCUACCUCACCAUUCAUUUGGGAAGUGCCUAAAUAAUGUUGGUGGUCUGGACAUGGCCCUGUCCUUUUACCCUGAAUGUGCAAACGAUGGCAAUGUUACCCCAAAAUGGUGGGAUCACUUACACUGUGCCAUGUCUCACUACAAAUUUGUUCUCGCAAUUGAAAACACUUGGACAGAUAGUUAUGUGACGGAGAAGUUAUUUUAUGCCUUAGACUCUGGUGCAGUUCCUAUUUAUUUUGGUGCACCAAAUGUCAUGGAUUUUGUCCCUCCACAUUCAAUAAUAGAUGGUACAAAAUUCAGAUCGUUGGAAGAACUGGCAUCUUAUGUGAAGGCCCUAGCUAAUGACCCAGCGGCAUAUGCAGAAUACCAUGCAUGGAGAAGGUGCGGUGUGUUAGGGAACUAUCGAAAAACUCGAGCACUGAGUCUUGACACGCUACCGUGCCGGUUAUGUGAAGCUGUUAGCAGGGGAGGAGGAAGAAAUGCAAGAGGCUAGGUUGAGCUUUUUGCUGAAAUUUUAGGACUUCAUGUUAGUGAUGCUUUGAAUUCUGGUUGGACAGGCUGUAUAGAGGCUAAUUUCUUGUCUCGCAAAGGAAAGUUAUAGAACUAGAUCACAUAGCAGGCUCAACUCAGACGGUAAAAAAAAUAUAAGGUUACCUCUAGAACAAUUGGUAUGAGGGUGGUGGGGCCCCAUGUAUUCGGCAGAGUAGGUUUUCUAUCAUUUACUUAUUUAUUAGGAGGUCUAAUAGAGAGAAUGAAGACAUUGGAGGCGAUUGUCUUCUGGAUUCUAGUCCUUGUGGAACUUCCAAACUGAAGCCAUUAUCCCACUAUGGACUGAAGAUUUGGACUUCCCAGUACACUGAAUCUGCAGUAUAAAACUCAUCUGAUUGAACAUCUAGUGCAUUACAAGGGCCAAAAAAAAUUAUACCCUGCAAAUUUGUAUUCCUCUCUCUUACCUUUGUCUUGCUCUUUUGGCUCUUUUGGCACGUUUUGAUCUUCUUCAAAUCAUCAGGUCUGUUCUUGAGAUAAUCCUUCACCUGCUGUUUGUUCAUAGAUUGCAUCAUAUCAACCUGUUUGAAAUGAUACAGACUCAGACCUUUUUUUGAGUUCUUGAGGAGCAUGGGUUUGCUCAAAAAGCCUAUAAAUUGAAGGAAACUUGUAGCGAGAAGAAGACAAAAAGGAAAUACCCAUGUUUUGAGGUUUU